rnacentral:rRNA from 1 species
GGCGGGACACGUGGUAUCCUGUCUGAAUAUGGGGGGCCCAUCCUCCAAGGCUAAAUACUCCUGACUGACCGAUAGUGAACCAGUACCGUGAGGGAAAGGCGAAAAGAACCCCGGCGAGGGGAGUGAAAAAGAACCUGAAACCGUGUACGUACAAGCAGUGGGAGCACGCUUAGGCGUGUGACUGCGUACCUUUUGUAUAAUGGGUCAGCGACUUAUAUUCUGUAGCAAGGUUAACCGAAUAGGGGAGCCGAAGGGAAACCGAGUCUUAACUGGGCGUUAAGUUGCAGGGUAUAGACCCGAAACCCGGUGAUCUAGCCAUGGGCAGGUUGAAGGUUGGGUAACACUAACUGGAGGACCGAACCGACUAAUGUUGAAAAAUUAGCGGAUGACUUGUGGCUGGGGGUGAAAGGCCAAUCAAACCGGGAGAUAGCUGGUUCUCCCCGAAAGCUAUUUAGGUAGCGCCUCGUGAAUUCAUCUCCGGGGGUAGAGCACUGUUUCGGCAAGGGGGUCAUCCCGACUUACCAACCCGAUGCAAACUGCGAAUACCGGAGAAUGUUAUCACGGGAGACACACGGCGGGUGCUAACGUCCGUCGUGAAGAGGGAAACAACCCAGACCGCCAGCUAAGGUCCCAAAGUCAUGGUUAAGUGGGAAACGAUGUGGGAAGGCCCAGACAGCCAGGAUGUUGGCUUAGAAGCAGCCAUCAUUUAAAGAAAGCGUAAUAGCUCACUGGUCGAGUCGGCCUGCGCGGAAGAUGUAACGGGGCUAAACCAUGCACCGAAGCUGCGGCAGCGACGCUUAUGCGUUGUUGGGUAGGGGAGCGUUCUGUAAGCCUGCGAAGGUGUGCUGUGAGGCAUGCUGGAGGUAUCAGAAGUGCGAAUGCUGACAUAAGUAACGAUAAAGCGGGUGAAAAGCCCGCUCGCCGGAAGACCAAGGGUUCCUGUCCAACGUUAAUCGGGGCAGGGUGAGUCGACCCCUAAGGCGAGGCCGAAAGGCGUAGUCGAUGGGAAACAGGUUAAUAUUCCUGUACUUGGUGUUACUGCGAAGGGGGGACGGAGAAGGCUAUGUUGGCCGGGCGACGGUUGUCCCGGUUUAAGCGUGUAGGCUGGUUUUCCAGGCAAAUCCGGAAAAUCAAGGCUGAGGCGUGAUGACGAGGCACUACGGUGCUGAAGCAACAAAUGCCCUGCUUCCAGGAAAAGCCUCUAAGCAUCAGGUAACAUCAAAUCGUACCCCAAACCGACACAGGUGGUCAGGUAGAGAAUACCAAGGCGCUUGAGAGAACUCGGGUGAAGGAACUAGGCAAAAUGGUGCCGUAACUUCGGGAGAAGGCACGCUGAUAUGUAGGUGAAGUCCCUUGCGGAUGGAGCUGAAAUCAGUCGAAGAUACCAGCUGGCUGCAACUGUUUAUUAAAAACACAGCACUGUGCAAACACGAAAGUGGACGUAUACGGUGUGACGCCUGCCCGGUGCCGGAAGGUUAAUUGAUGGGGUCAGCGCAAGCGAAGCUCUUGAUCGAAGCCCCGGUAAACGGCGGCCGUAACUAUAACGGUCCUAAGGUAGCGAAAUUCCUUGUCGGGUAAGUUCCGACCUGCACGAAUGGCGUAAUGAUGGCCAGGCUGUCUCCACCCGAGACUCAGUGAAAUUGAACUCGCUGUGAAGAUGCAGUGUACCCGCGGCAAGACGGAAAGACCCCGUGAACCUUUACUAUAGCUUGACACUGAACAUUGAGCCUUGAUGUGUAGGAUAGGUGGGAGGCUUUGAAGUGUGGACGCCAGUCUGCAUGGAGCCGGCCUUGAAAUACCACCCUUUAAUGUUUGAUGUUCUAACGUGGACCCGUGAUCCGGGUUGCGGACAGUGUCUGGUGGGUAGUUUGACUGGGGCGGUCUCCUCCUAAAGAGUAACGGAGGAGCACGAAGGUUGGCUAAUCCUGGUCGGACAUCAGGAGGUUAGUGCAAUGGCAUAAGCCAGCUUGACUGCGAGCGUGACGGCGCGAGCAGGUGCGAAAGCAGGUCAUAGUGAUCCGGUGGUUCUGAAUGGAAGGGCCAUCGCUCAACGGAUAAAAGGUACUCCGGGGAUAACAGGCUGAUACCGCCCAAGAGUUCAUAUCGACGGCGGUGUUUGGCACCUCGAUGUCGGCUCAUCACAUCCUGGGGCUGAAGUAGGUCCCAAGGGUAUGGCUGUUCGCCAUUUAAAGUGGUACGCGAGCUGGGUUUAGAACGUCGUGAGACAGUUCGGUCCCUAUCUGCCGUGGGCGCUGGAGAACUGAGGGGGGCUGCUCCUAGUACGAGAGGACCGGAGUGGACGCAUCACUGGUGUUCGGGUUGUCAUGCCAAUGGCACUGCCCGGUAGCUAAAUGCGGAAGAGAUAAGUGCUGAAAGCAUCUAAGCACGAAACUUGCCCCGAGAUGAGUUCUCCCUGACCCUUUAAGGGUCCUGAAGGAACGUUGAAGACGACGACGUUGAUAGGCCGGGUGUGUAAGCGCAGCGAUGCGUUGAGCUAACCGGUACUAAUGAACCGUGAGG